rfam:Schistosoma mattheei strain Denwood, Zambia genome assembly, scaffold: SMTD_scaffold0020287
AUCCAGCUAACGAGUUCUAAACAGGACGAAACGCGUGUCCUGGAU